CGAUUCAGCGUGAAAUUACUGUCAACAAACCCACGUGGAGCACAAAUGAUUUACAAUGGUUGAAUGGAAGUGACAGGUCCUCUUUUCAAAAUAAGCAAGCCUGAAUAGAUGUGUCCCUACGGAGGCAGCUAACAGAAAGUGGGAUAUAAUUAAGAUUGAAUCGUGAAUUUGCUCUGUGUCACCUUUAAAUAGCAGCAGAAAACUCAACUCUGCACAACCAGAAAAACUUUUCUGAAGAAAAUUCUGCCAAGAGACAGUUGGGAGGGAAAUGACGUAGGUAAUUUCCAGAAAAGAAAUCAACACUGAUAUUGGGAUGUAUGUACCAAUAUUUUACAAGGACUUUCCAUGGUAGAAGCUCUCCUGAAAAAAUAUUCAAUUUAUUGUGGACAUCAUGACACAGGGUUCACCUGUCAUCAGCAUUAGAGACUUGUGAUUUGUUCCACCUGGGCCAUACGUGUAUUAAAUGAAAACAAUUCAUAGAACCACAAGCACAUUGUAAAUCUAUGUAAGGUCUUCUAUGUAUGUUGCAUCCUUAUUUAAUUUGCUGUUAUAUAACAAGACUUUGUUUCAUUGGUACUAAAACUCAAUA